AGAGUUUGAUCCUGGCUCAGGACGAACGCUGGCGGCGCGCCUAACACAUGCAAGUCGAACGGAGCUUAGAGAGCUUGCUUUUUAAGCUUAGUGGCGAACGGGUGAGUAACGCGUGAGUAACCUGCCCUAGAGUGGGGGACAACAGUUGGAAACGACUGCUAAUACCGCAUAAGCCCACGGUACCGCAUGGUACUGAGGGAAAAGGAUUUAUUCGCUUUAGGAUGGACUCGCGUCCAAUUAGCUAGUUGGUGAGGUAACGGCCCACCAAGGCGACGAUUGGUAGCCGGACUGAGAGGUUGAACGGCCACAUUGGGACUGAGACACGGCCCAGACUCCUACGGGAGGCAGCAGUGGGGGAUAUUGCACAAUGGGGGAAACCCUGAUGCAGCGACGCCGCGUGGAGGAAGAAGGUUUUCGGAUUGUAAACUCCUGUCGUUAGGGACGAUAAUGACGGUACCUAACAAGAAAGCACCGGCUAACUACGUGCCAGCAGCCGCGGUAAAACGUAGGGUGCAAGCGUUGUCCGGAAUUACUGGGUGUAAAGGGAGCGCAGGCGGGAAGACAAGUUGGAAGUGAAAACCAUGGGCUCAACCCAUGAAUUGCUUUCAAAACUGUUUUUCUUGAGUAGUGCAGAGGUAGAUGGAAUUCCCGGUGUAGCGGUGGAAUGCGUAGAUAUCGGGAGGAACACCAGUGGCGAAGGCGGUCUACUGGGCACCAACUGACGCUGAGGCUCGAAAGCAUGGGUAGCAAACAGGAUUAGAUACCCUGGUAGUCCAUGCCGUAAACGAUGAUUACUAGGUGUUGGAGGAUUGACCCCUUCAGUGCCGCAGUUAACACAAUAAGUAAUCCACCUGGGGAGUACGACCGCAAGGUUGAAACUCAAAGGAAUUGACGGGGGCC
rnacentral:rRNA from 1 species